GGAUCUGUAGCCAAAUGGUUUAAGGCACUUGACUUUUAAUCGAGGGAUUGUUAGUUCGAAUCUAACCAGAUCCA
rnacentral:tRNA from 1 species